rnacentral:rRNA from 1 species
UAGCCUGGUAGCAAUACUGGGUUGAGCCAGUGGCGAACGGGUGCGUAACACGUGAGUCAUCUGCCUGAAAGUGGGGGAUAGCUCGCCGAAAGGCGAAUUAAUACCGCAUGUGCCCCGAAGCAAUUCGGGGUAAAGCCGGGGCAACUUGGCGCUUUUAGAUGAGCUCGCGGCCUAUCAGCUUGUUGGUAAGGUAACGGCUUACCAAGGCUUCGACGGGUAGCUGGUCUGAGAGGACGACCAGCCACACUGGAACUGAGACACGGUCCAGACACCUACGGGUGGCAGCAGUCGAGAAUUUUUCUCAAUGGGGGAAACCCUGAAGGAGCGACGCCGCGUGGAGGAUGAAGGCUUUCGGGUUGUAAACUCCUGUCAUUUGGGAACAAUACCUUACGUUAACUGCGUGGAGGUUUGAUAGUACCAGAAGAGGAAGAGACGGCUAACUCUGUGCCAGCAGCCGCGGUAAUACAGAGGUCUCAAGCGUUGUUCGGAUUCAUUGGGCGUAAAGGGCGCGUAGGCUGCGGGGCAAGUCGGGUGUGAAAUCUCAGAGCUCAACUCUGAAACUGCACUCGAUACUGCUUUGCUUGAGGACUGGAGAGGAGAUUGGAAUUCCGGGUGUAGCAAAGGGCGA